GACGAACGCUGGCGGCGUGCCUAAUACAUGCAAGUAGAACGCUGAAGGAGGAGCUUGCUUCUCUGGAUGAGUUGCGAACGGGUGAGUAACGCGUAGGUAACCUGCCUGGUAGCGGGGGAUAACUAUUGGAAACGAUAGCUAAUACCGCAUAAUAGCAGUUGUUGCAUGACAACUGUUUGAAAGGUGCAAUUGCACCACUACCAGAUGGACCUGCGUUGUAUUAGCUAGUUGGUGGGGUAACGGCUCACCAAGGCGACGAUACAUAGCCGACCUGAGAGGGGGAUCGGCCACACUGGGACUGAGACACGGCCCAGACUCCUACGGGAGGCAGCAGUAAGGAAUCUUCGGCAAUGGACGGAAGUCUGGCCGAGCAACGCCGCGUGAGGGAAGAAGGUUUUCGGAUCGUAAAGCUCUGUUGUAAGAGAAGAACGAGUGUGAGAGUGGAAAGUUCACACUGUGACGGUACCUUACCAGAAAGGGACGGCUAACUACGUG
rnacentral:rRNA from 1 species